GGUCUGGAACAGCAUCCAACACAAAUUCUGACUUAGGUCUGCUAUUGCCAUAUGAAUUCUCUGUUGUCAUAGAUCAGAUGCCAAUUGAGUUCAUGAAUAUUUUCAUUUAGUAUUGCACUUAUUACAUUGGGGACUAGCUACAUCUAUUGCUGGCACCAUUCUGAUUCUGCAUUCACGUUCUGAUUUAUGCUGCCACAUGGUUAAUAAAGGAGUACCACAACCACUCUCUUUAUCAUAUCUAUGAGAGAAGAGAUGACAGCCAUGGCAAAGAGUGUGAAAAGAGAGAGAUUAGAAGAGAAGAAGAUAGGUAACGAGGGGGAAGAACAGAUCUGCAGCGUGAUGCAGAGCCAGAGCUCGUGAGAGAAGCAAGAGAAAGACUAGUUUUGCUGCACUUUGGAAUCAUCUGAAAUAUAGACCAAUAUUUCUCAAUAUUACCUAUGAACAUAUUGGACAACAUGCAACCAAUGGAGGAGGUAGAAAACACAAUUUAGAAGUUGAUAACUCUAUCUCACAGUACUAUUGUAAGCAAAUUGUAAUUUUCUAUGUUAGAAUACAUGGUGCAGGCCUUUCACAAAAGAGAGAAUUAGAGAAAGUAAAAGACUAAAAAUGUAAAUUGUAAUGAAUGAAUGAAUGAAAUGUUAUAUGAUUAAUCCA